rnacentral:rRNA from 1 species
UACAGAGGGUGCGAGCGUUGUCCGGAAUCACUGGGUGUAAAGGGCGCGUAGGUGGCGCGACAAGUCAGUGGUGAAAGUUCGACGCUCAACGUCGAAUCGGCCACUGAUACUGUUGGGCUUGAGCACUGUAGAGGCUAAUGGAAUUCCGGGUGUAGCGGUGGAAUGCGUAGAGAUCCGGAAGAACACCGGUGGCGAAGGCGGUUAGCUGGGCAGUUGCUGACACUGAGGCGCGACAGCGUGGGGGAGCAAACAGG